GAGAAAAAAAAAAAAAAAAAAGAUAAGCAAGAUGACAAACAACUUAUGAUAUAUCAGCUUAUCAAAAGAAAAAAAAAAACUUCUGAAAUAUCAACUUCAUGCCAGCUCACAGCCGCAACGAAAGAUGCAAGUUUAGUAUUUAAGAUGUUAGAUCUAAUCUUUCUUUAAUGAUUUAGACACAAGGGCAAGGAAUUUGGAAGUUCUUCCAUCCAAGACUAACCUAAGCAAAACCAAAACAAAUCAAUGGAGUUAAUGGUAUGAAAGUAACAGAAUAUAUAAAGGGAAUGUACAUUAUCAGUUUGUGGAUUCCCCAUCACGAGAAAAAUUGAACUUUGUAGACAGAUUACAAAGUUUCUUCGAAGAGAAUCUAAGCUUUAAUGGUG
rnacentral:misc_RNA from 1 species